CGUCCCCUUCCGGCCGUCGGCGCGCACCUCUGCCACUAGCACUGCCGCUUGCAUUCCCCUGCACCCCCGCCGCCGAAAUCGCCAUCGCGUGUGCGCCCCAGCGCCGCUGCUGCGGCCGCACGUGCGCCGCGGCCCUGCGUGGGUGCCGCUCUGUGCGCGGCGCCGUUAGCCCCGGUGCGCCGUCCGAGCCACCGCUGACGCAAGACCCAACGAUGGGUGGUGUCCGCAUGCAGCCAUGCAGAUAUCCAUAAUUGAUUGAUUACGGGUGACAUGUAUUUUGGGGGAGGGAGUACGUGCUACUGAGCCACCACAAAGGAGGUAGCUAGCUAACGUGUUGGCAACUAACAGGUUCCUAAAACGUCAUGCAUUACAACCAAACAAAGAGGACGAAUCAAGUGCCAGCUCCAUGACAGGAGGCCCCCGCGAUUCACCUGGCGGGCGCGGCCGCAAGAGGUGCCAGGGGGAGCUCGCCUCGGGACGGGCGGUGGCGGAGCUGGCGACUCCGGUGAGGCCGGAUCCGGUGGUCGCGGUGGAGCGCGAGGAGGCGCGGGGUGGCUGCUAUUGGGGCGCAGAGCCCGACAUCGGGGACGAUGCUGGGGGCGGCCGGCGGUGCUGAGGCUCGGCAGCAGGCUGGGCGCGGGUCCGUGAGGGCGCCGGCGCUCCGGAUCUGGCCUCCCGUGGCCUGGCGGCGGGAUCGGCGCUCCGGUUCUCGCCUGCAGUCGGUGCUGCCCUUGCGGAUCUGGUCGGGGUCCGUCCGCCGGCAGGUGGCCAGACGCCGAGGCUAGGGGCCGGUGCCCCGGUGGCCGGGGCUGGCGCCCUCAACGCAAGGGGUGGUGCCCUUGGUGGUGGGGCGCGCGCCCAUGGCUGCGGUCAGGACGUCGUCGGCGACUACUGCAGGUGCUUGUACCGGCGGCGGCAGUCGGCGUCGGUCUGUGCAGCGGUGUCACGCGAGCGGUGGAGGCAGGUCCGGCCCCCAUGUGCGGCCUGCUCGGAGGGGGUGGCGGUCGACGCAGCUGUGCGGCUGCCACGUGCAGCUGGCGCGUCGUUGCUCUCUGAUGAAGCCUUCAUGGGGCGGCGGGGCAGUGGCGUUUGAAGGUGUUGGACGGCAAGGGGUCCGGCUUCUUGGCUCGGCAUUGGCGCUAGUGGGGUCUUGGACGAAAGUCUUUGGGCGCCGUUUUCCCUGCUGGGGCGUCCGUGUAUCCCCCUAGUGCCGAUGUCCAUGGGUGAAAACCCAGUCCAUUGUGAACGUGCGGCGGCGGCGGCAUUGUUGUCGUUCCCUUGUUGAAGGCGUUGCAUUUGGACUUCGUCGUGGCUUCGAAGUCUCCUGUGUGGAUGCUCUUGUUUCUCGGCGUCCGGUCGACGUGUGGUGGCGCGUUUUGCAACGUGAAGUUGGAGCUGCUGCGUAGGGGACGCGGCCCGGCAACGAUGACGCGCGGCAACCCCUCCUCCGCCGUAGUCUGGGUCUCCGCUGGGGGUCUUCAUCUGCUUGGGUGAGGCGUGGGUUUUGACCGGAAGUCGGAGCUGCUCUUCACUUGAGCUUGGCAAAGAUAAUCGGUUGUGGCCGCUUGCUUCGGAACCAUCAGUAUGUGGCUCGUGGGUGGUCUGCCACAGGAAGUCGGAGCUGCUGGCGGCUUUGCUUCCAUGCUCGGCAAUGAUGACCUAUGGCAAUGUGUCGUGUUUGUGCUCAACAGCGUCGUGUGGGUUGGUUAGCUUUCGUAAGUCCUUUGGCUUCCUGUUGUGCUAACUUUUCUUGUAAAUAUUUUUCUAUUGUCUUAAUUGAGGCAGAGCUCCUGCCUUAUGUUAAAAAAAAA